CUCAUUUUUAAUGUCAUGAGAACUCUAAAAUGUAGUAUUAGAGGAAUACAAGAGUGGUAAUCAGUGGUAACUGUUUUUAUCCAGUUCUCAGAACAAAGCAGAUUGCAGGAGCUCUGUUUUGAAUUAAUUCCUGUGUUUUAGGGUAUCUAUAUUUUUUCUCCCACCCAGGAAAGUGUUCUAACUAUGAGCCUAGACUGCAAAGGGGUGCACCUGCUCCCUAAUUAGUAUGUCAUGCAAAAUAAACUCUUUCCCUAAAAAGACUGAGAAAAAUGCUCUCUUGCAUACUUACAGAUAUACACAUAGUGCAACAUACAGUGGUGAUGAAGCACUCUUUAGAAAGACAGAUAAGGAUUUAAAUUUGAAUUUCAAUUCCCUGGAUAGAAGAAGCUGUGAACUGAAGUACUCUACCUCUUCAAUGGAGAAUCUUAUGCAUUUUAUGGAAAUAGCACAGCUAUGA
rnacentral:lncRNA from 1 species